CCCCAAAAUCUAUAGGCUAUCUCAAACCCUCCCCCCAUACCUCACUUACCUAAUCUGUAGGCUGUCUCUGGCUGCAUGUGUUGUUCCCCUGCGGUUUCAAUCAACAGAGAGAAGCAGGGAUAAGAUGCAGCUUCCUAUCCCUACUGGCCGGCGCCGGUAUUGCAGUUCAUUUUAAAUUUCACACAAAGAAUAUCAGAACAAGCUGAAAAAUCCAGGGGGGGGCAAGUGCUAAGCAGGAGUCUGUUGCGGCUUCUGACUUCUGCAGCUCUGCAGACUCUGGAAGCACAUCACUGGACCAACAGGGAGCAUACCGUUGCUAAACAGUUUACCCCUUUACUGAGGAACCAGGCCACGGUAAUUUAGGCAUCAUUUCCAUUACAGCAGGAUGUAAUGAUGAUUGGUAAUGCUUGGAGCAAUCCUUUAAGUGAGCUACACACUUUUGGAUACUUUCUUGAUUCUGUUUUUUGUGACUUUGAAAUAUUAAUUAAGCUUACGUGUAAUAUUGUGAUACAGACUGCUGUUUAUACUUUGUAUUUCAAAUGAUCACUUUCAAUAUAGUUCUAUUUUAUAAUAAAGAACAUUUUACAUUUACAAAUCUUAAUCGAUUAAAUUAAUAUGUGAUGGAAUGUGAUUAUUUUAUAUGCUCUUUGAUUUUUAACAUGUUUGUGAAUAAGCGUCUAGACUAGCAAGCCAAGUUCUGUUCAAUGUAUAGAGGGUGUUGGUUGUUUAAAAGUUUGAACUUUAUACAUUCUUUCCUCCCCCCUACCCACGUCACCCCCUUACUGCUGAUCUGCCUAGUAACAGCAGUAAAAGUCCAAACUAAUCACCCCCCUUGUUCUACCUUCUCUAUACGUUAAGACCACGUGUAACUAUCUGAUUAGAUAAAGAAUAAAAGCACGCCCUGUUAAAAAAACAAAACAAAAAAAACUAUAUAUUUGGGAUAUGCAAUAAACAUUUUUGGAUAACUUUGAACAACUUGUGUCUGUGUCAGUUCAUGGUAGUCUCCCCAGCGCUGGAAAGGAAUUGCAGGACAAACCAGAGAUUGCUAAAUUACAAAGAAGUCCAUGGCAAAGAAUUGGUCAAUUAUUUAAAGAGAUCUUCAUUUUGUUUAUACGUAGAGCUGUUUAUCCAGUCUGUUAAAGAUUAUCACUUUCACUGCGCUUCUGUUAACUAUUGUUAUAUACCUCUCUCAAUAAAGAGCAUUUGUGCACUUGGAAA